rnacentral:rRNA from 1 species
GAUGAACGCUGGCGGCGUGCUUAACACAUGCAGGUCGAACGGUGAAGCCAAGCUUGCUUGGUGGAUCAGUGGCGAACGGGUGAGUAACACGUGAGCAACCUGCCCUGGACUCUGGGAUAAGCGCUGGAAACGGCGUCUAAUACUGGAUAUGAGCUUCUACCGCAUGGUGGGGGUUGGAAAGAUUUUUUGGUCUGGGAUGGGCUCGCGGCCUAGCAGCUUGUUGGUGAGGUAAUGGCUCACCAAGGCAUCGACGGGUAGCCGGCCUGAGAGGGGGACCGGCAACACUGGGACUGGGACACGGGCCAGACCCCUACGGGAGGCAGCAGUGUGGAAUAUUGCACAAUGGGCGAAAGCCUGAUGCAGCAACGCCGCGUGAGGGAUGACGGCCUUCGGGUAGUAAACCUCUUUUAGCAGGGAAGAAGCGAAAGUGACGGUACCUGCAGAAAAAGCGCCGGCUAACUACGUGCCAGCCGCCGCCGUAA